AAAUUGAAGAGUUUGAUCAUGGCUCAGAUUGAACGCUGGCGGCAGGCCUAACACAUGCAAGUCGAACGGUAACAGGAAGCAGCUUGCUGCUUCGCUGACGAGUGGCGGACGGGUGAGUAAUGUCUGGGAAACUGCCUGAUGGAGGGGGAUAACUACUGGAAACGGUGGCUAAUACCGCAUAACGUCGCAAGACCAAAGAGGGGGACCUUCGGGCCUCUUGCCAUCAGAUGUGCCCAGAUGGGAUUAGCUAGUUGGUGAGGUAACGGCUCACCAAGGCGACGAUCCCUAGCUGGUCUGAGAGGAUGACCAGCCACACUGGAACUGAGACACGGUCCAGACUCCUACGGGAGGCAGCAGUGGGGAAUAUUGCACAAUGGGCGCAAGCCUGAUGCAGCCAUGCCGCGUGUAUGAAGAAGGCCUUCGGGUUGUAAAGUACUUUCAGCGGGGAGGAAGGUGUUGUGGUUAAUAACCGCAGCAAUUGACGUUACCCGCAGAAGAAGCACCGGCUAACUCCGUGCCAGCAGCCGCGGUAAUACGGAGGGUGCAAGCGUUAAUCGGAAUUACUGGGCGUAAAGCGCACGCAGGCGGUCUGUCAAGUCGGAUGUGAAAUCCCCGGGCUCAACCUGGGAACUGCAUUCGAAACUGGCAGGCUUGAGUCUUGUAGAGGGGGGUAGAAUUCCAGGUGUAGCGGUGAAAUGCGUAGAGAUCUGGAGGAAUACCGGUGGCGAAGGCGGCCCCCUGGACAAAGACUGACGCUCAGGUGCGAAAGCGUGGGGAGCAAACAGGAUUAGAUACCCUGGUAGUCCACGCCGUAAACGAUGUCUACUUGGAGGUUGUGCCCUUGAGGCGUGGCUUCCGGAGCUAACGCGUUAAGUAGACCGCCUGGGGAGUACGGCCGCAAGGUUAAAACUCAAAUGAAUUGACGGGGGCCCGCACAAGCGGUGGAGCAUGUGGUUUAAUUCGAUGCAACGCGAAGAACCUUACCUGGUCUUGACAUCCACGGAAGUUUUCAGAGAUGAGAAUGUGCCUUCGGGAACCGUGAGACAGGUGCUGCAUGGCUGUCGUCAGCUCGUGUUGUGAAAUGUUGGGUUAAGUCCCGCAACGAGCGCAACCCUUAUCCUUUGUUGCCAGCGGUUAGGCCGGGAACUCAAAGGAGACUGCCAGUGAUAAACUGGAGGAAGGUGGGGAUGACGUCAAGUCAUCAUGGCCCUUACGACCAGGGCUACACACGUGCUACAAUGGCGCAUACAAAGAGAAGCGACCUCGCGAGAGCAAGCGGACCUCAUAAAGUGCGUCGUAGUCCGGAUUGGAGUCUGCAACUCGACUCCAUGAAGUCGGAAUCGCUAGUAAUCGUGGAUCAGAAUGCCACGGUGAAUACGUUCCCGGGCCUUGUACACACCGCCCGUCACACCAUGGGAGUGGGUUGCAAAAGAAGUAGGUAGCUUAACCUUCGGGAGGGCGCUUACCACUUUGUGAUUCAUGACUGGGGUGAAGUCGUAACAAGGUAACCGUAGGGGAACCUGCGGUUGGAUCACCUCCUUA
rnacentral:rRNA from 13 species